GUGCCAGCCGCCGCGGUAAUACGGAGGGUGCAAGCGUUGUCCGGAAUCACUGGGCGUAAAGGGUGCGCAGGCGGUCUAGUAAGUCAAGAGUGAAAUCCAUCGGCUCAACCGGUGAACUGCUUUUGAAACUACUAGACUUGAGAACAGAAGAAGAGAGUGGAAUUCCUGGUGUAGUGGUGAAAUACGUAGAUAUCAGGAAGAAUACCAAUGGCGAAAGCAGCUCUCUAAUCUGAUUCUGACGCUGAGGUACGAAAGCUAGGGUAUCAAACGGGAUUAGAAACCCCAGUAGUCC
rnacentral:rRNA from 1 species